GUAGGUGGCAAGCGUUGUCCGGAAUUAUUGGGCGUAAAGCGCGCGCAGGCGGUUCUUUAAGUCUGAUGUGAAAGCCCACGGCUCAACCGUGGAGGGUCAUUGGAAACUGGAGAACUUGAGUACAGAAGAGGAAAGCGGAAUUCCACGUGUAGCGGUGAAAUGCGUAGAGAUGUGGAGGAACACCAGUGGCGAAGGCGGCUUUCUGGUCUGUAACUGACGCUGAGGCGCGAAAGCGUGGGGGAGCAAACAGGAUUAGAUACCCUGGUAGUCCACGCCGUAAACGAUGAGUGCUAAGUGUUAGGGGGUUUCCGCCCCUUAAUGCUGCAGCUAACGCAUUAAGCACUCCGCCUGGGAGUACGGCCGCAAGGCUG
rnacentral:rRNA from 1 species